CCUGUCCCAGGUGUGUCCCUGUCCCAGGCGUGUCCCUGUCCCAGGCGUGUCCCUGUCCCAGGUGUGUCCUUAUCCCUGUCCCAGAUCUGUCCCCAGCCAGGUGUGUCCUCAUUCCAGGUGUGUCCCUGUCCUUGGCGUGUCCCUGUCCCUGUCCCAGGUGUGUCCCUGUCCCAGGUGUGUCCCUGUCCCAGGUGUGUCCUUAUCCCUGUCCCAGAUCUGUCCCCAGCCAGGUGUGUCCUCAUUCCAGGUGUGUCCCUGUCCUUGGCGUGUCCCUGUCCCUGUCCCAGGUGUGUCCCUGUCCCAGGUGUGUCCCUGUCCCCAUCCUGGGAUCUCUCCAUGUGCAAGAUCAGCCAGGCCACGUCUGUCCCUCUGUGUCCCCUCGAUGUCCCUCAGUGUCCUCUGAAUGUCCCCUGGAUGUCCCUCGGUGUCCCCUGGGUGUCCCUCUGCGUCCCCUGGAGUGCUGAAUGUCCCUUUGUGUCCCUUGCUGUCACCAAGUGUCCCCUGCAUGCCCCAGAGUGUCCCCUGCCUGUCACAGGUGUCCCUCAGUGUCCCCUACCUGUCCCCUCAGUGUCCCCAAAGGGCCCUGCAUCUCCCUCAGUGUCCCCCACGUUG